rnacentral:rRNA from 1 species
CGAAGGCCUGGGGAGUAUACCGUCUGUGAUCCAUGGGUUUCCAAUCGGGAAACCGUAUCCAAGCUUGCCGAGCAUGCCGUGUGCUGCGGCUCCGCCUCGGAUCUGAGAGACUUAGCGAACUGAAACAUCAUUGUAGCUAAAGGAAAGGAAAUCAACUGAGACUCCGUUAGUAGCAGCGAGCGAAAGCGGAUUAGGCAAAGAAAGGGGAAGGGGCCCCGGACCCCCGCUUUCCCUGGCCCUGUGCGGGGGAGAACUUGCAGUAGGGGGAAGGGUGGGAGCCCGUAGACUAACGUCUACGCUUCGCCCUUCCUCAAGGAAUUCUGAAAAGGUUGGAAGAUCUGGCCAAAGAAGGUGAUAGCCCCGUAGAUCUUUCCUAACAAGUUUGAUUACUAUCGCAAAACGCGAAUACCGUGUUUGAAUAAUGAUCGCUUUUACGUGACUAAGGGGGACCACCCUCGCGGCCUAAGUAUUCCUCAAUGACCGAUAGCGUACCACAAGUACCGUGAGGGAAAAGUGAAAAGACCCCGCCGUAUGCCGGGAGUGCAAUAGAAAACCUGAAAUCCGGUGCAAACCAUCAGUCGGAAGAGCAAAGCUGAGAAAACGGAGGCAAAGCCACUAAUGUUCGAUGGAACGCAUACGCGAAGCUGAGAAAGCGCUGUAGCUUUCGGGUUCGAUAGAACCCUUGAGCGAAGCUUCGCGUUGUCGGCUCUCGCUCGGCGCACUNNNNNNNNNNNNNNNNNNNNNNNNNNNNNNNNNNNNNNNNNNNNNNNNNNNNNNNNNNNNNNNNNNNNNNNNNNNNNNNNNNNNNNNNNNNNNNNNNNNNUUCUAUUGAAGUAGAGCGUAUAACGUUCAUGGCUUGAGGUAGAGCACUCAAUGGGCUAGGGUAGCCCAAAGCUUGACCGACCCCAAGGAAACUCCGAAUACGGGCCAUGGGUUUGUACAGACAGACUUCGGGUGCUAAGAUCCAAAGUCGAAAGGGAAACAGCCCAGAUCGUACGCUAAGGUCCUUAAGCAAUCACUUAGUGGAAAAGGAAGUGAUCGAGCGAUGACAACCAGGGGGUGGGCUUGGAAGCAGCCAUCCUUCAAAGAAAGCGUAAUAGCUCACUGGUCUAGCUUCAUGGCACUGAAAAUGUCUCGGGGCUCAAGUGACUCACCGAAGCGACGAGACCUUGAAAGAAGCUUUUUCAAGUGUCAGUAGCGGAACGUUCUGUCAAUCGAGGAAGGUUGUUGGUGACAACACCUGGAGGUACCAGAAGUGAGAAUGCUGACAUGAGUAACGAGAAAUCAUGUGAAAAACAUGAUCGCCUGCCAGUUCCAGGGUUUCUGCGUUCAGUCAAUCUACGCAGAGUGAAUCGGUCCCUAAGGAACCCCGAAAGGGCAACGUCCGAUGGGUACACGAAAGCGACGAAGUUGCUUUGACUACUGAACCAUGCGUGUUUGUUAAACUCGUGAAUUGGAUGAUUGGGCAGGGGGCUACAAAGUCACUCCGGCUGCAGGGUUUCAACUCCCGGGAAAAAACUUCGUGGAAUUGGGAGGGCGAUUCGAAAUUUGAAAUGCAAAACCAACCGUACCCCAAACUGACACGGGUGAACAAGUAGGAUAUACUAAGGCGCUUGAGAGAACCAUGUUGAAGGAACUCGGCAAAAUGGCCCCGUAACUUCGGAAGAAGGGGUGCUCUCCUGUCGAAGGAUUGGGAAAGCGGCACGUACCGGGGGUAGCGACUGUUUAUUAAAAACACAGGACUCCGCUAAGUGGUAACACGAUGUAUAGAGUCUGACACCUGCCCGGUGCUGGAAGGUAAAAAGGAGAAGUGUUAUAAGCUUUGAAUGGAAGCCCCGGUAAACGGCGGCAGUAACUCUAACUGUCCUAAGGUAGCGAAAUUCCCUGUCGCAUAAGUAGCGACCUGCAUGAAUGGUGUAACGACUGCCCCGCUGUCUCCAACAUGGACUCAGUGAAAUUGAAUUCUCCGUGAAGAUGCGGAGUACUAACGGCUAGACGGUAAGACCCCGUGCACCUUUACUAUACUUUUGCAGUGACAUCCUUGAUUUAAUGUGUAGGAUAGAUGGGAGGUGAUGGCACGCAAUGUCGCCACCAAUCUUGAAAUACCACUCUCUCGUCGUUGGAUGCCUAACCGCCGCUGCUGUCAGAAGCGGGAUAUUGCAAGGUGGGUAGUUUAUCUGGGGCGGGUGCCUCCCAAAGAGUAACGGAGGUGUGCGAAGGUAGGCUCAAGCUAAUAUUCUGACAGCUUGUGAGCGUAAUGGUAUAAGCCUGCCUGACUGUAAGACUUACUGGUCGGACAGAGACGAAGGUCGGCCAUAGUGAUCCGGGAGUCCCGUGUGGAAGGGCUCUCGCUCAACGGAUCAAAGGUACGCCGGGGAUAACAGGCUGAUGACUCCCAAGAGCUCUUAUCGACGGAGUCGUUUGGCACCUCGAUGUCGACUCAUCACAUCCUGGGGUUGAAUAAGGUCCCAAGGGUUCGGUUGUUCGCCGAUGAAAGUGGUACGUGAGUUGGGUUUA